UUCCUGCCCGGGUGGGCCGCUGCGCCGCAGUGAGGGCCCGAGUCCCGCUCUUCACGGCGCCUUCGCGUCCGUGACCGCAUUCGAAUGGAUACCCUUUUGCGGAGAUCAAGUUCGACCUCGGUGUUGGAGAUGAAGAGACAGGUUUAGAACUUAAGCUUCGACUUGUGCCCACUAAGCCGUUUUCUGACUCCCACGCCUUUCAUCUCCCUGGGGAGGCUGUGCUCGGCAUCCUCCUUGGGGUUGUCCUCCUCCUCUCCUCCUCGCCUCCACCCCUCCCUUUACUUAGAGUAAGUUGGCUGUGGAUGACGUUUAGUGUAAUUCCUAAUGCAGAUAAAGAUGCGGGCUAAAAGAGGCCCAAUAACUUAUGAAGAACGCACAGCAAGUAAUCAGAAGAGUAGGAACUCCACCUGAGGACUUCAGGCUUUGCAGCCGAUGUAAACCUCAUCCCAUCCCACGACCUCAGAUGAGACAAUUAGCCAGUGGCCGUGUCCUGUCCGGUUCCAUGAUGAUAUUAACACUCCCCCCAAAAGUGUACUCUUCCCAUCCACCCAGUCAUUCCACAAACAUUUGUUAGCACCUGCUGUGAGCCAGACAGUACCAUGCACUAGGAUGCACACAUAAAAUACAAAAUCUCCAGCCUUGACAAGCUCAGUCCUUAGUUGGGAAACUUGCAACAUGAGGUGUGCCAAAGUAGGUACCCCCACGUGGUGUGCAAGCCCAGAGCAGGGCCAUCUGGAAAAGCUGGAGAGCCAAGGAAGGCGCCAUGACGUGGUAACGCCUGGACCGAUCCCUGACAGAAGGAUAACAUCCUCGGAAGCAGACGGUGAGGAAACUGAGGCCCUAAAAGGGGAUGGAGUUUGUCCAAGAUCACAAAUUGAGCAAAUGCCUUUCCCAGGCCUAGACCCCAGGUCCAGUGUGCAAAGAAGCUGGGCCUGGCUGCAGAGCCAGGCAGUUCCUUUCAUUUCAACAGAAGACGAUGCGGCAGGCCAGUGUCCAAAGUGUACAAGGUGCGUGAAGGAAUGGACACGGGACCCUGGCCUGGCCUAUCAAAGUAUCCCCUCCUCCCCAGAAUGGUGAUUGGUUCAGAGAUGUGAGCGGACAGUGCAAUGACACUCAGACCUGCACUUUUACUGGAAAUAUCGGGAAAGAGACUUGGGUCCUAGGUUUCCAGGUCAUCUUUGCCACUUCAUGGGAAGACUCUGUCUGAGAAUGAAGCCAGCACAAAGGAAAGGAAAGCUGGCAGAUUCCUGAUGAAAUCCUCUACGUUCCCAGAUCCAGCUUUGCCCUACUUGGCAGUGUAAAUGGCACUGACAUUGGGGCUUAAAAUAACUUGAGUUAGGGUUCCACCCAUGGGUUUGUGCAGUGACACACAUACAAGGAAUGGAGUGGACAGUUGUAUCCCAGCUUGUGCUGUGUGACAACCCCAGACCUGCCUGCUCUCUCACUCUCACUCCCAUGAGCCUUGCUCUUUCACCUCCAGUGCCUUGACCCCUCUUUUCUCCAGUCCAAGCUUGAGCAUCUCAGCCACUGGUUCCCAGUGCUUCUGCUUGCUCCUUGCUUUGACUUCUUUCACACCUGACCUUUGAGCCCACAAGCCCAGGUCAAGCCUGUCUCUGCCUUCUCCAACAUCUUGAGAAGGCUGCUGCAUGUGGAGGGGGGCAAUGACCCAGGGGCCCCAUGGAGCCACACAUUGUCAUGGUCUCCAGGCUCAGCUGAGUGCUGAGAGUGUAUCCUAACUAACAGGACAUUUAAUAAUGGUCUGCAGUAAUCAAACAGCGUGGCACUGGCACAAGGAUAGACAUAUAGACUAAUGGAAUAGAAUAGAGAGCCCAGAAAUAAACCCUCAGUAUAUCAGCAAGGGUGCCACGACCAUUCAAAGGGGAAAGAGCUGAAACUUAAUUCUUUUGGCCAUGCCACAUGGCAUGUGGGAUCUUAGUUCCCCAACCAGGGAUCAAACCUGCGUCCCCUGCAGUGGAAGCGCGGAGUCUUAACCACUGGACUGCCAGGGAAGUCCAGUAACUAAGUCUUGAUUUGGUGACUUGAGGCUUAGCAUAAGCCACUGCAUUUUGGGCCCAUUGUCUUAGUUUUAACAAUUUCCUCCUUUUGACCAGUCUCUCAGCCUGAGGGAUGCAAUACAAAUUUAAGGCAUUAGUGUUAUUCCCAGCUACCACUCUGGAGGCCUUGCAGCUUCUGCUGACCCUCUGUGUGGUGCUCACAGGUUAUGAUGUUGGGUUCACGUUCUUUGUCAGUCUUUCUUUUGUUCUUUUUCUGAUGUUUCAGUCGUAGGGAGAUCAUUUGCUUGGUGCUUAGUGGCUGCAAACAUGCACUUAAAGCUCUUGAGAGAAUAUAAUGCACUACUAAGAUUAUUACGAUGAUUACAAGCAGGAUAAUUCCCAGUGUCUGGGGUGCACUUCAGAGCCAUGAUCCCCAAGAUCCAAACCAAUCAGAAUCAAAAUCAAAGAAAGUCCCUGUUGAAGGAGUCCCCUUUUUAAGCUAAUUGGCUUAGUCCCUGGUCUUAUAUUCCCACAUUCUCACCCCCCUUUCUGAUUGUUGCCAACCUAAUUGGCAUGCUUGUUAUUUCAGCCCCAGGCUGAUUUCUGGGGACAGAAGGGACACCUUAGAGGUGGUACAAAGACAUAAAAUUAAAUAAAGUUGAUCCACAUAGUGAG